rnacentral:rRNA from 1 species
GACAGAGGAGGCAAGCGUUGUCCGGACUGACUGGGCGUAAAGCGUCCGCAGGUGGUCGUGCAAGUGCGCUGUGAAAGCGGCCCGCUCAACGGGCCGAGGCCAGCGCAGACUGCGCGACUCGAGGUCGGGAGAGGUCGGUGGAAUUGCCGGUGUAGUGGUGAAAUGCGUAGAUAUCAAGAGGAACACCUGAGGUGAAGACGGGUUGCUAGGCUGACACUGACGCUGGAGGCGCGAAAGCCAGGGGAGCAAACGGG